UAAUGUCUUACUUUUGUCAAUGACGAUUGUAUUGAUCAAGUCAGGCUCUGUUUCAGCGAAGUAAUCAAGACGCUCCAAUAUUUUACUGAAACAAAAUUACAAUUUAGCAUAAGAUAAUGAAGGAAUUGAUCAUUUAAACGCAGGUUUAGUCCUGUUUUCAUGGAUAGUUUUAUUCAUCAGGGGUGAUCUAAAGUUGCAACGUGGCUUCUUAUACCGGGUGACGGGUGUCCCCCCAAAAAAACUGGAUACUGUUUAAUUUCAUGUAACGUAAAAG